rnacentral:rRNA from 1 species
GUCUAUUGCUAUAGCACCCUGAAUGUGCCCUAUCUCACCUGAUCUCAGAAGCUAAGCAGGGUCAGGCCUGGUUAGUACUUGGAUGGGAGAACAAAAUCCAAAGUGCCCUGAAAU